rnacentral:lncRNA from 1 species
UGCUAAUGUUGAUGCAGUGCUUCCAAAACACAUCCAGGAAUACUUGCCUGAGGAGGAAAAGAAGAAAACAGAGCCGGUGGAAGAGAAAAAAAGAAAACGUCAAACCGUGCCAGCACCCAAAGUGAAAACUGAGAGAGAAAAGGAGACACAGAAGAGCCAGGAAUCCAGUUCCUCUGAGCAAUCACCAGUCUUCUCCCUGACUGGCUGGGAGGUGGGGGAGUCCAGCAGCAACUUCAUGGAGACGAUGACGGACAAUUGAGAAGAUGCUGGGGAAGAGCCACCCACAGUCCAUGAGGAAGACCCUGUUCCCCCUAAGCGAAGCCUUUCCCCACGGACACACCGGGCCCUGCAGGAGGUGGUGACGUGCAUUCUGAGGCAGGUCGCCCGCAAGCGCAGGGGGCAGAGGGAUGAGCAGGCAGAUCUGCAGGACAAGCUCAAGUGCGAGCUGGCAGUGCUGCAGUGGCGUCGUUCGGGGAGAGAGGCACGCAGCAGCCAGCUGUGGGAAGCUGGAGCCCAACCUGCACCCACUGCUUGGCCAGGGAAGAGGAGGGCAGGAGCGAUACGUCUGCGUGUGCACAGAGGAGGAGGAGAAACGCAAGCUCUGGGACUCGUUGCGCAAGAAGUGCCAGAAGGCAAGGGCGAAAGUGGCAACUGCGAAGGCUUGGAAAGAAAAGCGAGAGCAAUGGGAGGUCCAGGGUCCUGCAUUCAUGGCAUUCCCGAGCGGUGGGGAGACACCAGGAGAGGAUGAGGAAAGCCCAGAGGACAAGCUGAGUCUUUGCCUUUUGGAGUACUCAUCUCUGCAAAGGGAGCGGAUGUGUUGCACAACGGUGAGUUCCAUGAAAGCCUCUAAGGCACAGAGGCUCCCAAGAUUGACGUCAAGCAAAAGCCUCUUCCAGGAUCAGAAGCAGCAGUGCCGGCCAGCGAGGAUGUUACCAGCACUGCUUCCGUCUGAUCAAGAAGGACCUAUACGCAAACCACUGUGUCUGACACUGUGGGUCUUGGUGGCUGUGAAAUAUGCACUCAGUGGUGGGUGAGCUUUGGUGGAGCAAGGAAAGGCCACUGCAGGACAGAGGAGUUUCAGUCCUAUUCCAAGGGCAGGCCUCUGCCAAGGCUUUGCUAUAGCAUGUCGGCUGCAGCCCUGCUCUUGGUGGCCCAUGCACCUUCUGGUCUGUGGCAGUGUGCCCUGCCAUGGCUGCAGAGCUCUGCUGUGGAGGGUGGAGACGAGAGGAGGGAGGAGGAGGAAGAGGAGAAGGAAGUGUAGUGCUGGGCAGCCAGGGCAACAGAGCUGCCAGGGAAGCAGCCGGGGGCUUGUACAGCCAAGGCACUGCAGGGCAUGGAGGCCAGCUCUGUCAGAGGUGCACAGAGCAGUGCCACGGGGACAACGAAAGCCUAGGCAGGAACCGUGCCUGGGGAGAGGGAAGCUAUGGGGGGCAGCUUUUCGGUUGGGUGGCUUGGCUCUGCCAAAGCUCUGCUCAGGUUCCUGAGCAGAGUUUUGUUCAACACUUCCUGGUUCGAAGGAGGAGGGAGCUGAGGUGAGAUGGGGACACUCCUGAAAACUCCUCUCCAGACACCUGGGGGGACAUAAUGCAUGCCACUGGGGGCCUGAGAGCAGGCUGUGCAGGAGGAGGGAAGGAAGCCCAAAACUGUUGGCUGUUGGGCAUCCACACCCUGCCCAGGCUCUGUGGGGUGGUGGCAGCAAUGCUUCCCGAGCCCAGGCAGAUUUAACAGCACCGCAUGACAUAGGGUCAGUCUGUUCAUCCUCUGUGGACUAUUUUUUCCUGAAAAGCCCUGAUCUUGUGGAGCUCCAUCUUGGCCUACUUAGGAGAUACUCUAAUGGCAUGGCUAAAGUGGGGACGGUGUCCAGACAGAGCUCUCAUCUUCUGCAAACUGCAGAGAAACAGCAUCACACCACUGCUACAAGUCCUUGGCACAGGCAGAACUGACUAAAUCAACUGCAGGUGUGGAAAGUCACAAAGAAAGGAAAAACCUUCAUGGGGUGCGGAAGUCACAGCUUCCUCUCUCCAGUGAGAGGAGCAGCUUCGUUUCAUUUUCUUUCUUUUUUCCUCUCUUAAAGGACACAAAAGUCCUUCCAGCUGCUAUGUCUGGAACAGAGACACCAACAGAGACACCUCCCAAGGAAAGGCCCUGUGUUGAACCACCCUCGGGAAGGAUAAAGUGUGUGUGAAGGGGGGGCUGUAGAGUAUGAUGUUUACAAGGGGAAACCCUUCUCAAACCUAUUUCUCCUCCUAUUUCUCCUGAACAGAGCACUUCCCUCUUUACCAACCAGGUGCACUUUGAAAUAUCAGAGCCUUUGCCAUGCUCUGCCCCCAGUCUGGCACAGGUCUAGCCCACAGCACACACACACCCCCUCUUUGUUGUACAACAGCGGCUGCCGCAGGCUGAGUGGUCAGAAGGAGGUGAAGGUGGCAGAAGGUUCACACGGCCCUGGAGAUGUCUUUUGGUGACGCUUCCUUCCCAGGGAGCCAGGACUUAGUGAAUGGGCUCUCCUUCAGAGAUGGGUCAUGUUAACACGAAGCCGAGCACACAGGAGAGGGUGUGAGUGCAAGACCCAAGACAGAAAGCGCCAGUGAGGGGAGGUCAGGCUGUACCCCUUGCUCCUGCUGAUGGCAUGCUGCUCUGGCUGCAGGGCCCAUGCUCCUGCUGGAUAGCAUCACACCAGCAGCCCAGGGUACUUUUGGGACAUCAUUUCUGAGCUGCUGUGUUUGGCCUGUCCUCACUGCAGCUCCUUGGAGCAGAGCCCAGCUUGCCCUAGGUUGCAGCUGAAUGGGCGCAUAAGGCACAGAAGCUGGGCUGGGCUGUUGGCCACUUCUGGGAUCUUUCUUUUGGGACUAGCAGCAACUUUGCCUGCCAAUUCCCAAAGACCCUUUUUAUCUCUCCCAUACACGUGCCGGGCUCACUCAGCUGAUGGGGGUACUAUGGGUCUGUAGGCAGAGGGCUGGGUGCCCCACAGGGGUGCAGGGGUCUCUGGGAGUGCCAAGACACCUUGCUGCCUUUUCCUCAGUGUCCCCUUGCAGCUGAUGUGAGCUGUGCUUCAAAACGUCCUGCAGGCUGGGAGUAGCAGCAGGAGUCCUGCAAGGGAGCAGCAGUGGUUGGUGGGGUUUGCGUAACAGUCACGUCCAGUGUGUCCAUGUGACAGCUGCCGGAAGGUCUUCAGCUCUCAAAAAGCAGGUCCUGCAUUCGGAAGCCAAAAUAUGCAUCAGCUCCCGAACUCCAUCAGCUCAGCUUGCUUAUCAGAUAGGUCAUUGCUCCUCCUUGAACUUUUGUUCUGAAAUUAAGCUUCUUGACACCUAGUAACCAUGGGAAACACCCAGCAAUGCUCGUACCCACUUACAGGUUGGUCUCAUCGACCUAACCCAGCGCCAGCAGCUGGGUUUAGAAGCUCCAUUUCAUUUCUCACAUCACAAGAUGAGGAACGGGGAAGCAGGAAGAAACAUGUGAACUAAGUGGUUUCCAGCAAGGCACUGUCUCUAAAGCAGUUUUCAUAUAGUACACUUGUGAUCAGGAAAUUAGCCUCCAUGACAAAAGAGUUUGGUGGUUCUGCGUAAGAAGCAGCUAUUUGGCCAUAGGCAGAGCAGAAUCCAAACAGCCCUGGAGGUACCAUGCUUUUAGUAUUACUGUAGGGAUGACCCAGGGCAGAGGUUCUCUCUCUCCGCUGUCCUUUCCAGCACGUUUGUGUAGUCUUGCCCUGAAAUUGCCACUGCUCGAAGCAGAGGCAAAGUGGAGGAAAACUAGUGAACUAAUAAUAAUAAAGAGUUGUAAUAACACUAACUGUUGUUCAACCACACAGCUGUGUUUGGACAGGGGAAGCAAGUACCCAGAAGCAGAGGGUGCUGUAAAGCGGCACCCUGUGCCCUGGCCCAGGAAUCAAACACGAGGAAGGCAGAUGUGAACGCAGACUCUUUAUUUUAAGUAGGGAUAUGAAAAGAGGGGAUGGGGGGAUGCGUUGGGGGGGGGGGGGGGGGUGGAAUUUUAUACUGACAGUUAAAAAAUGCUAGUGAUAGCAUAAUGAUAGUAAAAUUAUGGUAAAAACAAUACUAGAACAACAAUAGUACAACAAAGUAGUACAAAGGUUUAAUUACAAAUAGUAUAAAGGUUUAACAACAAUAGUAGAACAAUAUUAGAACAACAAAAGAACAAUAAAACAACAAAAGAACAACAGUAUAACAAGAAUAUUAAAACAAGUGAAGAACACACGUAGAACAAUAAAAUCUCCGAUGAAUAUCACAGCCGACGACGUUUUGCUGCUGGAGGUCCAAACGGCCACUUGGCAUCGGAGCGGUCCUCCUCCUGGGGGAAGAACAAAAAACCAAAGAGAACAGGUUUAGUCACAUCCAUGUAGAUCAUAUUUCAGAAGGAAGGAGAUGCUGUAACACUCAAAUCUAAAAAUAAAGUGUGAUUCCAUUAAA